CGUUUAGGGGUAAACCUGAGAAACCCGAAAGGUCGAAGGGAGAAAUUCAUUCGCGUCUCGUUGCAGGCGUCGGACGGUCGAGAGACGGGUGACGGACGUUUACGCCUCGACACCCGCUCCUUCAGUUCGUCGAUCCGGUGACGAACGCGUGCACUUUUCUCCUGGUAGGACGUCGCGAUCCGUUGGGUGUCGGUCUACGGCCCGUGGUGGAGCCCAUUCGGCCAAUUUGUUUCGGAUGGACCCGCGGUGUCCUGGCCGACCCGCCCGACGGUACGCAAACGGUUUGAGGUCGCUCCUAUUGAGCGUCCGGCCGGCGACAAGUGCGCCGGAUGAUUUUGUCGAUGAUCGGACCUGGUGCCGAUCGCGACCUCCGGUCGCUGCUGGUCGUCGAGUUCUCGGACAGAUCGCAUAAACCGAUCUGCGACGCUAUAGCUUUGGGUACUUUCAGGACCCGUCUUGAAACACGGACCAAGGAGUCUAGCAUGUGCGCGAGUCAUUGGGAAUCGCUAAACCUAAAGGCGCAAUGAAAGUGAAGGUCCUCCUUGUGAGGACCGAGGGAAGACGGGCGGUUGGAAUUUAAAAGAAGCCGCUCCGCACUCCCGGGGCGUCUCGUUCUCAUCGCGAGAAGAGGCGCACCAAGAGCGUACACGCUGGGACCCGAAAGAUGGUGAACUAU
rnacentral:rRNA from 1 species